AGAGUUUGAUCCUGGCUCAGGAUGAACGCUAGCGGCAGGCCUAACACAUGCAAGUCGAGGGAGAAGCCCUUCGGGGCAGAAACCGGCGCACGGGUGCGUAACGCGUAUGCAACCUACCUUUCACAGGGGGAUAGCCCGAAGAAAUUUGGAUUAAUACCCCAUAAUAUUAUUGGAUGGCAUCAUUUGAUAAUUAAAAUUACGAUGGUGAAAGAUGGGCAUGCGUCCUAUUAGCUAGUUGGAGUGGUAACGGCACCCCAAGGCUACGAUAGGUAGGGGUCCUGAGAGGGAGAUCCCCCACACUGGUACUGAGACAGGGACCAGACUCCUACGGGAGGCAGCAGUGAGGAAUAUUGGUCAAUGGUCGGAAGACUGAACCAGCCAUGCCGCGUGCAGGAAGAAUGCCUUAUGGGUUGUAAACUGCUUUUAUAUGGGAAGAAUAAGGCGUACGUGUACGUUGAUGACGGUACCAUAUGAAUAAGCAUCGGCUAACUCCGUGCCAGCAGCCGCGGUAAUACGGAGGAUGCGAGCGUUAUUCGGAAUCAUUGGGUUUAAAGGGUCUGUAGGCGGGCUAUUAAGUCAGGGGUGAAAGGUUUCAGCUUAACUGAGAAAUUGCCUUUGAUACUGGUAGUCUUGAAUAUCUGUGAAGUUCUUGGAAUGUGUAGUGUAGCGGUGAAAUGCUUAGAUAUUACACAGAACACCGAUUGCGGAGGCAGGGGACUAACAGACGAUUGACGCUGAGAGACGAAAGCGUGGGGAGCGAACAGGAUUAGAUACCCUGGUAGUCCACGCUGUAAACGAUGGAUACUAGCUGUUUGGAGUAAUUUGAGUGGCUAAGCGAAAGUGAUAAGUAUCCCACCUGGGGAGUACGCACGCAAGUGUGAAACUCAAAGGAAUUGACGGGGGCCCGCACAAGCGGUGGAGCAUGUGGUUUAA
rnacentral:rRNA from 1 species